AAUGCACCUCACAGACAGAGCACCCAGCUGCUGUGCUUUGAAGUCAGCCACACCUCCCAUUCAUUGCUCUUACCAGUGGACUGACUGCUGUGGCGAUACUGAGGCCGUCUUGGUUCUGGAAGACAGGAUUGUAUAUUCUUGAAAUGAUUGCUGCCGUGUAAAGUUAAGGCAAGGCACACUGGAAAAUUGCAGGCUUGGCGAGUGUCCAGGCAAUUAACGGCCACCACAGCUGCCCUCUCCACCUCCACCACCACAACUGCCACAUAUUGGUACUUACAGUGGGCCAUGCCCUGUGCUAGGCAUUAUGAAGAUGAUCUCUUCAAAUCCUCACAACUAUGCUUUGAGAGACAGUGUUUUAAACAACAUUCAGAAGGAAGACAUAAAGGGCUAACAUCUUUGGAGAAGAUAAAUAUGUGU